rnacentral:rRNA from 1 species
GAUGAUCGCUGGCGGCGUGCCUAAUACAUGCAAGUCGAACGCUUCACUUCGGUGAAGAGUGGCGAACGGGUGAGUAAUACAUAAGUAACCUGGCAUCUACAGGGGGAUAACUGAUGGAAACGUCAGCUAAGACCGCAUAGGUGUAGAGAUCGCAUGAACUCUAUAUGAAAAGUGCUACGGGACUGGUAGAUGAUGGACUUAUGGCGCAUUAGCUUGUUGGUAGGGUAACGGCCUACCAAGGCGACGAUGCGUAGCCGACCUGAGAGGGUGACCGGCCACACUGGGACUGAGACACGGCCCAGACUCCUACGGGAGGCAGCAGUAGGGAAUUUUCGGCAAUGGGGGAAACCCUGACCGAGCAACGCCGCGUGAAGGAAGAAGUAAUUCGUUAUGUAAACUUCUGUCAUAGAGGAAGAACGGUGGAUAUAGGGAAUGAUAUCCAAGUGACGGUACUCUAUAAGAAAGCCACGGCUAACUACGUG